UGCUAUUAAUGAUUCCAGCACACCAAAACGUCGCUGCAUUCCAGCCAAUCGUUCAUCCAUUUGUGCCAUUCGUUGAUUCAGUUGCAUCAACGUCCUAAAAAUAUAAUCACGAUCCUCGGGACUUAAGUCAUUGCUGGCCAUGGUAGGCUCUAAUACCAAAUAAUGUAGGACCAAUCCUAAACUAGCCCAAUCAGAAUCAUCAAACAGUAGG